UGGGGAAUUUUACGCAAUGGGGGAAACCCUGACGUAGCGACACCGCGUGAGCGAAGAAGCCUUUUGGGGUGUAAAGCUCUGUCAGCUGGAACAAACACAAUGACGGUACCAGCAGAGGAAGCAUCGGCUAACUACGUGCCAGCAGCCGCGGUAAGACGUAGGAUGCAAGCGUUGUCCCGAUUCAUUGGGCGUAAAGAGUUCGUAGGUGGUCUGUUAAGUUUGGUGUUAAAGAGCGGGGCCCAACCCCGAUAGUGCACUGAAUACUGGCAGACUUGAGUGCGGUAGAGGUAAGUGGAAUUCCAAGUGUAGCGGUGAAAUGCAUAGAUAUUUGGAAGAACACCGGUGGCGUAAGCGACUUACUGGGCCGUAACUGACACUGAGGAACGAAAGCCGGGGUAGCGAAUG
rnacentral:rRNA from 1 species